rnacentral:rRNA from 1 species
AGGACGAACGCUGGCGGCGUGCUUAACACAUGCAAGUCGAGCGGUGAAGCCCUUCGGGGUGGAUCAGCGGCGAACGGGUGAGUAACACGUGGGCAACCUGCCCUCAGCUCUGGGAUAACUCCGAGAAAUCGGGGCUAAUACCGGGUAUGACCACCGACGGCAUCUUCGGUGGUGGACAGCUCCGGCGGCUGAGGAUGGGCCCGCGGCCUAUCAGCUUGUUGGUGGGGUUACGGCCUACCAAGGCGACGACGGGUA